rnacentral:lncRNA from 1 species
AUUCUUUGUCCCUCUGCUCAUUAGCUAAUUCAUUUCUAGUUUUACAUUACUAAUUUUCUUCUUUUAGAAGUGAAUGAAUGGUGCCUCUUACAUUGAAUGGAGUCAGAUGAAGCCUGAUACUUGUAUUUAUUUUCAUAUGCUAACAUGGUUUGAUUUCAAAUCUCACCAACAAUGGUUAAGCUUUGCCGACUGGGAGAUGCAGUGCUGAGUAUUAGGGGAAAUACACUGAGAGCUGGAGGGUGCUCACAGGAAGCAUACAAGUCCUGGAGGAAAACAGCAGGCCGGGCACAGCAGCUGAACCAUGAGGCUGUGCACACUCAGGUACCAUGGGACGUCUGGGUGCCCACGAGAGCAAGAGUGGGGCUGGGUAGCUGACUCUGGAGGGAUCAGGUUCAUGGAAGCAGUGAGAUUUGAAACAGAUCUGGGGGAGAAGGAUCUCCGCGAGCAGGGUGGGAUGAGAGGAGCCGAGGGCUGGGCUGGAACGUAGUGGUGUCUAAUAGCAGAUGUGGGAGACAAAGCAGGAAGGUCUGCUGGGCCCCUGUUCUAGCAGAAUUUAAAUAACCCCCUGAGGCUUUAUUUUAUAGAUUUUGAGAACCUGGCCAGGCGUGGUGGCUCAUGCCUCUAAUCUCAGCACUUUGGGAAGCUGAGGUGGGUGGGACACUUGAGGUCAGGAGUUCGAGACCAGCCUGGCCAACAUGGUGAAACCCCGUCUCUACUAAAAAUGCAAAAUUAGCUGGGCUUGGUGGUGCACACCUGUAAUCCCAGCAACUUGGGAGGCUGAAGCAGGAGAAUCCCUUGAGCCCAGGAGGUGGAGGUUGCAGUGAGCCAAGAUUGUGCCACUGCACUCCAGCCUGGGCGACAGAGUAAGACUAUUUCAAAAAAAAAAAAAAGAAUUUUGAGGACUUGAUGGUGCUUUUAAGCUGUUUUAUUUUUCCUUUGAGAAGAGAAAAUCCUAAUUCACAGAGCUUUUCAAGGGAAAGGGCCUAAAGAGAGAAAAGGUGGCGUAUCCUCAGCUCUUCCGCUGAGGUCAGCCUACCAAGGAGAGAUCAGCUUUAGUUCCUCAGAGACAUGCCCAGUGAUUCCAGGUGUGUGCAGGAGAGUGGCCAAACAGCUAAGGCAAUAAGUCUGUUCUGAAGAAGACUUCUGUGUGUCAGGGGCCCACCUGCCGUGGCCAGGGAGGCUCUGCUCGUGCUUGAACCAGGCUU